AAAAGGUUCACCGCAUCCCCCCACCCGCACGCCGGCGCUUGCAUCGCCCCCACGGCUCCGCCUCGCUUGGCACCGGCCCACCUCGCCGCCGGCCCUCCCCCUCACCUUCUCCCACCUUGCAGCGCCGGCGUGUGCCAGAUCCGCCUGCAUCCCCCAGCCAACCAUCCCUCUCACAUCUCAUCUCUCUCUCCAUGCGGCUCCUCGCUGCGCUACCUGCCGCGGCUGAUCCAAACGACGUCCGGCGAAUCCCCACCACCACGAAGCACCGCUCGAGGCCCCCUCGCACUCGUGGCGCCCUCUCAUACGACUAGAUCCGGCGCUCGCGGCCAGUAAAGCUCACCGGCGACCCUCCUCCCAUGGCUAGGGUUUCGGGCAUCUACUCCGGCGCCGGUGGCCAAGUUGCCCUCCUCUCGUCCGACGUGGAGGGAGGUACUGUGGACAGCCUUCCUGCUGCUCGGGACGAAGUAGCCAUGGAGCUUCCUCCUCCUCCUCUGGCUUCAGGUGAGUUUGUCCGCCGUGAUCCAUCUAACGGCCAGCGCGAUGACCUAGAAAGUAGGACAGGGCCUGGACAUGGUAGGUCACAAACAUCCAUCUAUUUUGCCCUCCUGUACAUAUUUUGAUGUUGGAUCGGUGCUGUGUUUCAAUUGCUAAGAAAGCAGAAUAAAAGGGCUAUGUUCUGUAGUUAGCAGCUGGACCUAGGCGUCUCCAUAUCAUACCUCCACAAAGAAAAUAUCAUACUAAAUCUACUAUUAUGUCAGUUUGCCCAUAUGCACAAUUUACCUUUUUCCUAACAAGUUCCGAUCCUCACCCCUUCACUAGCUACUUACUCAUGGUGCUGGUCAAUGCACUCUAUGUGGUAAACUGCUACGAGGCUCUAUUCUUUUUCUUCAAAAUAAAUUACUUUAAUUAUAAGAGAUGGAGUUUUUUCCAGGAAUAUUUGAUUACUGUUUGGUUUGAUCAGCUAGGGAUACCAUAUUUUUGAAAAGCAAUCAAAAUCUGUUUCUGGGUAGAUGCACUGCAAAAAUACCAGCAUCAUUAGAACAUAAAGAUAGGGAUGUGCUUAAUAAUUACCCUCACUGUCCUACUGAUAGUUCUCUUUGUUCUUGCAAAGGUGCUUAUUAAUCCACUGAAACCAUGUUAUAAGAUGCAAUUGUUUUAUCUCCUGAAAAAGCAUGAAGAUUUGUUUCUUUUAGUAAUUAAUUGAAACCACCUGUAAGCCUGCAAUGAAGCUUCUAUUAUUUUUGUCUCAUCAAUUCGGUAGCUAUUUUAUGCAAUAUGUUUUACUUAAAUUUCAGCAAAGGGAGCAUCUAUAUUUUGACAUAUGAACUGGUCUCUUUUUCUUUUCUUGACGGAGCGCACCUGGGCUCUUGAACGGCAUUCAAUACCCUGGUCAUAUCCUCAAAUUAAGCCAAUCUCACCAUGGGUCUUAUUCGCUGCCACCACCGGCAUGUUUCCAGCCGACCACCCAAAGACACUAACUUCAUGCAAAAUCGCAUUGCAGAUCGCAGCAUCAUGUCGAUAUGGCACUGUGAAAAUUGAAGAUUUGGUAUGGAGUCGCAAAAACUGCAAUACUCUCGGUAAUGCAGAAAAAACAAAGAUUUCAUGGUCUUCAACCUUUAUUCAAAAGAUACAUGGAUGAUUAUAUGGGUGUGUGGCAAGUAUACUGCAAUGAUGAUGAUGUUUCGGUUCAUCAUGAUGAUGAUGGAUGCUUUCAGUUUAGUUAAGUUGUAGGAAUUUUGUUCCUGUUGGAUGAUGUUUCUCAGUUAAGGUUUAGUUAAGUUGUAGGUAUGUUGAUGGAUGCUUUCAGUUUAAGUCUGGUUGUCAAGAAAAUAUUCAUUUUUCUGUAGGUCCAUGUUUCUUUUGGUGGGAUCUAUUUAAUUUGAAGUACUUCUUUCUACAGAGACAACUUGUUCACAAGGAGUGUGCUUCCUUCUACAGAGACAGCUGGUACACAUGGAGGUUGGGUUCGUUACUCGUGGUGGCAAAAAAGAUGGCACCUACCUUGUAUCUUGUUGGCCAAGGGUAGGAAGGGACACUUUGCAGAUGGAAGGGGGUGUUGUAGGGCAGUUACUCUAAAGGAAUGAAUGGAAAAAGGCAGAGGUGUUUAUCAUCGAAAACUAAACUUGCAUGUACCCAUCUUAUGUGAAUAAGCAUGUAACCAGCUUAUAUCGAUAUUUUCAUUGUAAUGGAGACAUAAGACACAAGUGACAUGUUAAACUCAAAUAAUAUUUUUAUUAGUAUC